GCCGGAGUGGCGGAAUUGGCAGACGCCCAAGAUUUAAAAUCUUGUGGCCCGAUAGGGCCGUGCCGGUUCAAAUCCGGCCUCCGGCACCA
rnacentral:tRNA from 1 species